GGAAGAACGAGUGGUUUGUUUAGGGUCUCUUCCAGCCGGUCCGGAUCAGCGUGUCGUUCCGCAGAAAAGGCUGGCUGCGGAGAUCUGGGUCUCAACAGAGCUGGUUGACCAACGAGCUUUUCAGCACACCGCAAGUCACAGUUACCAGGGACAAACACAACAUUGAGACAUGCCAUCAACAGGUGACAGACUGGUGAGUGGUGGAUGGACAGAACACUGGACACAGCAUGCAACAUGGAAGACGAGAGCGUAACAGCGGACGUCCUGUUUGUUUUCCUCUGGCCGGCCGUCCAGGCAGAGACGGGGAAGCCUCGGACCAGAGGAUAGACGCAUGGGACGCCAGGAAUGCAG